UACCAGCACCCCGAGUGGUCGGGACGUUUAUUGGGCCUAAAGCAUCCGUAGCCGGUUCUACAAGUCUUCCGUUAAAUCCAGCUGCUUAACAGAUGGGCUGCGGAAGAUACUAUGGAGCUAGGAGGCGGGAGAGGCAAGCGGUACUCGAUGGGUAGGGGUAAAAUCCGUUGAUCCAUUGAAGACCACCAGUGGCGAAGGCGGCUCACUGGCCCGAUACUGACGCUGAGGCACGAAAGCGUGGGGAGCAAACAGG
rnacentral:rRNA from 1 species